UUGCCACCCCUGCUUUAAAUCAUGCAUGCAUAUUGAUUGUCCUGUGUCUAUAUUAUUGAAGCAGUGGGUAUUUUAACAAUAAUGGAUUGGCCAUUCACUUCCAUUGAGCUGGAGUCUCUCUACAGGAGACUAUGAGAUACCUGGAGUCUUGAGGAGAUCGAGGUCAUGCUUAAGGGGCAGAUACAGGGCCAGGAUCUGUUCUUCGACUGCGUGGAAGCCGAGAUCAAAUUCUACCAGUGAAACAGAGCAAGUAAACAGAGAAAUUUGUCGUUGUGAACGUCACUAGUGCUUGCUGAUCUGCCUGGAGAGAUAGAGACAGUCUAAAGUGCACAGGUUCCUGCCUGCUCAAAUCCUGCUUUCCUAGUUCCCCUGAUGCCAUGCCAAACUAAUUGUGAUGUCCAUGCCACACUAACUGUAA